rnacentral:rRNA from 1 species
UACGUAGGGCGCAAGCGUUGUCCGGAAUUAUUGGGCGUAAAGAGCUCGUAGGCGGCUUGUCACGUCGGGUGUGAAAGCCCGGGGCUUAACCCCCGGGUCUGCAUUCGAUACGGGCUAGCUAGAGUGUGGUAGGGGAGAUCGGAAUUCCUGGUGUAGCGGUGAAAUGCGCAGAUAUCAGGAGGAACACCGGUGGCGAAGGCGGGUCUCUGGGCCGAUACUGACGCUGAGGAGCGAAAGCGUGGGGAGCGAACAGG